UAAUUAUUCAAGUUUUUUUUCAUCGACUCUUUUUUUUUCAAAUGCAAUUACAUUGUAUAGUGGCGUCUCCCUUUAUAUCAGAGAAGAAAAAUAAUAAGUUAAAUUAAAUUCUUACAAUGCUUCAUUUAGCUAAUGCAUCCGCCGGUUGAUUCAAUUCUCUAUAACAAUUUUGAAAAGUACAAUUUUUCGAUCAAAUCAACUCCAAUGUAUCCUUUAUCGUGUUUUGCAUGAAUUCACGACCAUAGAUAAAUCACAUUUUAGAAAAAUAUGAUUCAAACCUUGUUAUUGCAUCACUUUAGGUCGAAAUGAGCAACUUUUGCUUCUGUCGCAUCUUUAUUCAAAUUUACGAUCUCUAAGAAAAGCAAGUGAAUAUAAUCAAAACACGAAGAACAUAAUAAAUGCAAGACAAACUUUAAUAUCAUAAAGUAGAUAGUAAUUCCAACGGCUCAAUUAAUCCUACAAAAAAAAUAUUCUUAUGGGAGACCUAUACCCCAAAUGAAAUUGAUUUUGGACCUGGAAUAGGCUAAUACAAAAUUCACAAAAAAAUCUGAAAACUACCUAAUAAAGGUAACGACACAAGAUAUAUAAAACAAAAUUGGUCAAGGACUUCAAUAAUUUUAUACACAUUUGGAUUAUUUAUUUUGACUACAAGCUAGUUAUUUACUUAUUUAUACAUUUAUUUCUAAAUAAAACAAAACAAAACAAAAUAAUUAUUAUUAUAAACUUUGACUUCAUGAAUCUAUCUUAACUUAUUUAGUUUAUCGAGUCCUCAAUAAUUAUUUAUACCUAAAGAAACUUUUUAACGUAUAAAAUGUUUAAGUCAAGCUAUUUGAUUCAGGUAGAUUUAUAACUAAUACUCUACAUCCAUUCCUCGCUGCAAUAGUUUCGAGAAAGGACAAUUUGAUUAGUUUUUUUUUUUCUAGUGAAUUUGAUUAGUCUUUGAUGUUAUCAUAUAUAGUCUAUCUUAGCUUGUCUUAACUCAUCUAUCUCUCAAUCGUUAGCAUCCCUUCCCAACAACAGCCACCACCAAAAGUUAAAGUCUAUUGACAUUAAUUUGUUGUAGUUUGAACUCCACGUAGUUCCAAUCAUAUAUGGGUUUGUGGUUAAUUAAUUAUUCAAGAUUCUUUUUCGUCGAUCUCUUUUUUUUUUUUCAAAUACAAUUACGUUGUGUGAUGGAGUCUCCCUUUAUAUCAGAAAAGGAAAACAAAUAAAUUAAACAAUGAAGUAGGCUACAAAGACCAUGCGUCGGCAAAAGUUUCUUGUUCAAGGACUUUUUUUUUUUUUAAAAUUAAACCGAGAUAAAAUCCAUUUGAUAAAAUAAAAAGAUCAAUUUUACAUCCAACAAGCAAGGCCCAAAAGUGGCCUGACCCAAAUCCAAAAACAAUAAUAAGGGACAACAAAAGUCAUUGGGUCAAAUUAUUAAAUUAAAUAUCUCCGCAGCUACCUCUUUGUUGGGACUUUGAAUUAAAAAAAAACAAAUAAAUUGUCCAGUGAAAGUCCUUCAAAUUUUUUAAAUUAAAUAGAAGGACUAAUUUUCUUUUUGAGUUUUCUUAAAUUUUUUCUUUUGUUUGAACAACUUGUCUUAGUUGUUAAAUAAUUAAAUGUAGUUAUUCAAUCAUUUUAUAGAGUUAUUCAAUAACUAUCAAAAUUAUUAAAAUAACUGCGCAGAAUUGUUAUGCCAAUUGGUUAAGAGAGUUAGUUUUUCAAAAGCUAUAAGUUUGUGUGACCCACUUCUCGUUUUUUCAAUUGGAAACUUGGAAGCCUUGUGGCUCAUUUUUCUCUCUUUGUUGUCUCCUCGUCUUCUCGACUGCCUGGAAGGUUCCGACUGCUCCAUGUCUGCCGCAAAUGGCUCUCAGUUUAUCUUCGUCGUUCCUUAGUUAAGUGUCUAACCUUUGUGUUACUUUCGUCCCAGCCCUAGCUCGGUGGGUAGAACUUCCAUGGAAGCUAAUACCAUCACCUAAGUUAGAAAGUAGGCUCGAGUAAGCUAAGUUCCGGAGACUUUGCCAGUGCUCUAGCUUAUUCCUAAUCAUAUCUAGAGAUUCCUAUUUAGAUCUAACAUACCUGUUGUUUGAAUACUCAAACCAUCGACAUCCCAAAAUCUCACUGGAUACAAGUUUUGUAUUCAAGGGAAAUCAUUUCCAACAACAGGUACCAGCAUUUCCAUAUAAAUCCCUGAUAUAUUUAAUGUAUAACCUACUUACACUUCUUUAUAUUUUGAAUCUGAGGCUAACCGACACCUGAAUUUCACAUUACUUCAAGAUGGAGUAAAUUCAAGUUGGGAUUAGCUGGAUGCUCUAGGUGAGCUGAUGAUUGUUUUCUUCGCGUCAGUUAGAUGUUGCUGCAUAUCGUGGAUCAAAGGAUCCCUCACUGCUGCUAGACUGUUAUUAGAUAUAUUAUGCCUUAUUUCUACCUUAUCCCUCUGAUCAUGUAUUAAUUUCUUUUUCUUUUGUUGUGUAGAUUCAUUCUAGCUAUUUACUAUCACAAUGCUCUCUUCCCCCUAGUAAUGAACUGGUAACCCAGUCCUUAGUGGAUGUCUCCCUAUCCCUCUUUCCCUGUUCAUUAACAAGAUGAGAAUUAUUAGUUGUAAUAAUAUUAUUAUGUUCAUA